rnacentral:siRNA from 1 species
GACACACCCUAAUUGUCUUGAAGA